rnacentral:rRNA from 1 species
AGCUAGUAGUUGAUCCUGGCUCAGGACGAACGCUGGCGGCGUGCCUAACACAUGCAAGUCGAACGGAGCUAUUUUGACGGAACCCUUCGGGGUGAAGAUGAUUUAGCUUAGUGGCGAACGGGUGAGUAACGCGUGAGCAACCUGCCUUUCAGAGGGGGACAACAGUUGGAAACGACUGCUAAUACCGCAUAACACAGCGGGACCGCAUGAUCCUGCUGUCAAAGAUUUAUCGCUGAAAGAUGGGCUCGCGUCUGAUUAGCUAGUUGGUGAGGUAACGGCCCACCAAGGCGACGAUCAGUAGCCGGUCUGAGAGGAUGAACGGCCACAUUGGGACUGAGAUACGGCCCAGACUCCUACGGGAGGCAGCAGUGGGGAAUAUUGGGCAAUGGGGGCAACCCUGACCCAGCAACGCCGCGUGAGGGAAGAAGGCUUUCGGGUUGUAAACCUCUUUUACCAGGGAAGAAGAAAGUGACGGUACCUGGAGAAAAAGCCACGGCUAACUACGUGCC